rnacentral:snRNA from 1 species
AUUCCUUUCUCGGCCUUUUGGCUAAGAUCAAGUGUAGUAUCUGUUCUUAUCAGUUUAAUAUAUGAUAUGUGGGCCAAUGGUCAACACGAUAUUAAAUUUAUUUCUGGAGGGGGAGAGUCCACUAAUUUAGGUCUUGGCGCACCCCGCCAAUUUAGUUAAAGUUAG